rnacentral:rRNA from 1 species
GACGAACCGAGCGAACGUUGUUCGGAAUCACUGGGCUUAAAGGGCGCGUAGGCGGGCGGCUCAGUCUGUCGUGAAAUCCUCCGGCUCAACCGGAGAACUGCGGCGGAUACUGGUCGCCUCGAGGGAGGUAGGGGCGUGUGGAACUAUCGGUGGAGCGGUGAAAUGCGUUGAUAUCGAUAGGAACUCCGGUGGCGAAGGCGACACGCUGGCCCUCUUCUGACGCUGAGGCGCGAAAGCCAGGGGAGCAAACGGG